CCCCACUCCACAUCUGCCUCAUAGGGCUUCCUUGCCUUCCUUCAUCUGGCCUUAUUGAGGGCAGCCUCUUAGCUCAGCCAUAGUCUUAGGUUUUGGGUCUCUGUGGUGGGAUUAGGCUGGGCAGAGCUUUGGGAGAAAGGAGCAGGAGAUUCAGCCUUUGCUUCUGUCCUCUAAGAGCUCCCAGACCACCUGGAGAGGUAAGCAUCAUAAUUAGACUAUAUGUGGUGACAUAUAAACAGAGGCUAAAUUGUGUGUUAGAAACUCUGAGAUAUAGAAGUUCAGAGGAGAGGAAAAUAGCUAAGGGUAAUAAUCAGGGAAAAUGUCAGAAAUGAGACUUGAAGGAUAGGAAUAUUAAGAAAAAAAUGUUCUUUCAAUUUCUGAGUUUUUGUUUUGUUUUUUUUUUUCUUUUUUAGAAAGUUUGAGGCAUGAGCCACCAUGCCCGGCCCUGUUUUCCAUCUUUCAAGGUACUGGAAUAUUCAAUGCCAUUUUCCCAGCCUUACAGUUCUAGUCUGGGCAUAAAAAACCUUCUCUAAGCACCCUGCAUAGAACCACAUUUUAGAGGCCAGGCGUGGUGGCUCACGCCUGUAAUCCCAGCACUUGGGAGGCCAAGGCGGGCGGAUCACAGGGUCAGGAGUUUGAGACCAGCCUGGCCAACAUGGUGAAACCCCAUCUCUACUAAAAAUACAAAAAUUAGCUGGGCGUGGUGGCGGGCACCUGUAAUCCCAGCUACUCGGGAAGCUGAGGCAGGAGAAUCG
rnacentral:lncRNA from 10 species